rnacentral:rRNA from 1 species
UACGUAGGUGGCAAGCGUUGUUCGGAAUUAUUGGGCGUAAAGGGCGCGUAGGCGGUUUGUUAAGUCGGUCGUGAAAGCCCGGGGCUCAACCCCGGAGGGUCGACCGAUACUGGCAGACUAGAGUGCAGAAGGGGCAACUGGAAUUCUCGGUGUAGCGGUGAAAUGCGUAGAUAUCGAGAGGAACACCUGCGGCGAAGGCGGGUUGCUGGGCUGACACCGACGCUGAAGUGCGAAAGCUAGGGGAGCGAACGGG